rnacentral:rRNA from 1 species
GAUGAACGCUGGCGGCGUGCCUAAUACAUGCAAGUCGAGCGAACAGAUAAGGAGCUUGCUCCUUUGACGUUAGCGGCGGACGGGUGAGUAACACGUGGGUAACCUACCUAUAAGACUGGAAUAACUCCGGGAAACCGGGGCUAAUGCCGGAUAACAUUUAGAACCGCAUGGUUCUAAAGUGAAAGAUGGUUUUGCUAUCACUUAUAGAUGGACCCGCGCCGUAUUAGCUAGUUGGUAAGGUAACGGCUUAACAAGGCAACGAUACGUAGCCGACCUGAGAGGGUGAUCGGCCACACUGGAACUGAGACACGGUCCAGACUCCUACGGGAGGCAGCAGUAGGGAAUCUUCCGCAAUGGGCGAAAGCCUGACGGAGCAACGCCGCGUGAGUGAUGAAGGUCUUCGGAUCGUAAAACUCUGUUAUUAGGGAAGAACAAAUGUGUAAGUAACUGUGCACGUCUUGACGGUACCUAAUCAGAAAGCCACGGCUAACUACGUG